AGUUUAGGACAACGGGUGGGUGACAACAUCAUAGUUUAGUUGCCUGUCUUCGAUACUCUGUUUCAUAGAGAACAACCCACCUCUCUUCCUCUCUGUCUUGGAAACCAAAGUUCAAAGAAUGGCAGCCAUCUCUCAAUUAAAUCAAUUUCCAUGCAAGACUCUCUCUUCAAAAACACCUCUAUUCUCCCACUUUACUUCUUCAAGACCCUCGAUUAUCCCUCUAAACUCGAUCAAGAACAACCCAACAACCAACAAUUCGAUCUUGAAACCAAGAAUUCUGGUAACCAGAGAACAACCCACCAAGAAAAGGAAUCUUUUCUUGGUUAAGGCUGUGGAUGAGGACGAGGGGAGUCCAGAAAAUGAAGGCCCUCCGGUUGCUUUGGCUGAGAAGGGGGAGGAGGAGCUGAAAGAGCUGGCAGAGGUUGAUCGCUUGAAGGGACAGCUGGUGGAUACUUUUUAUGGGACUGAUCGUGGACUGAAUGCUACCAGUGAGACUAGAGCUGAGGUUGUGGAGCUUAUUACUCAGCUUGAAGCCAGAAACCCCAAUCCUGCUCCCACUGAGGCCUUGACUCUGCUCAAUGGCAAAUGGAUUCUUGCAUACACAUCUUUUGCGGGCUUGUUCCCAUUGCUGUCAAGGGGUACACUGCCAUUGGUAAAGGUUGAGGAAAUAUCUCAGACGAUCGACUCGGAGAACUUAACUGUCCAGAAUUCUGUGCAAUUCUCAGGGCCGCUGGCUACUACAUCCAUUAGUACCAAUGCCAAAUUUGAAGUCCGAAGCCCCAAGCGUGUGCAGAUCAAGUUUGAAGAAGGCAUUAUUGGGACUCCGAAGCUGACAGACUCAAUAGAGUUACCGGAAAAUGUGGAAUUUCUGGGACAAAAGAUCGACCUCACACCCUUUAGAGGCAUAAUCUCCUCUGUGCAGGAUACAGCCUCAUCUGUUGCAAAGACCAUUUCCAGCCAACCACCAUUGAAGUUUUCUAUCCCAAACAGGAAUGCUGAAUCAUGGUUGCUAACCACAUACCUUGACGAUGACCUUCGGAUUUCAAGAGGUGAUGCUGGCAGUAUAUUUGUGCUCAUUAAGGAAGGCAGUCCCCUCUUGACACCCUGAACAAACCAAAAAAAGAAGAAUCUCCCUAUCAUUUUUCUUUCUUUUCUUCCCCAUGUUUUUCCACCUUUUCGUACAGUGCUGCUUUGCGAAGGAGAUAUUAAAUUAUGUAUGUAAUAUUAUAUGUGUGAAACUAGAAAACUUGAUGAAGAUGGGUUUACACAUUUUUCAUGUACUUUGCCCCAAAGUUUCUGUUCAGGUAAAACUGCCUCGACGCUUGAAGAACCAUGAUAGCUGAUGGAGCUAUAUUUACUUCUGUAUGGAAUUCAAGGACUGAUCGUUUCCUUCAUUUCUAUGAAAGUGAGAAAACAGAAAGAAGCUACUUAUUUGUGAAUGUUAGAUAAUGGAAAACAAUGUACAAUAUCCUCUUGUUUGGAGAUGUUAGAAAGUGUUUUUGAA